GGGGAUGAAAGGAUUUCGACGGGGAAUCUGAACUUCGAUCAGCGGGCGGAAGCGGGGAACUUCCUUAAAAGCUCCAAACUUUCAAAAUAAACGACAACAAUAAAGUUGCUCUUGCUGCUUAACUAAAGCAGCCGUCCUGCCGGGGAGUACCGCGGCUCCGGUCUGGGCGUCAUUUUGCGGUGAACGUGAACGGGUAAGCGGCUCGUAGCCCGUCAUGACCAACGCGCCUUGCCGGCAAGACAGUCUGUCGCGUGUCUGCCUUGCCGGGAGAUCGAAACGCGACUGCGCCCGGAGAAAGUUGAACGGAUGGUUUUUCGGACGCGGGUUCGACUCCCGCCAUCUCCACCA
rnacentral:tmRNA from 1 species